AUGGUUUUAUUGUGGUAAAAGUGUAGUAACCAUGGUUUUUUUGGUGUAUUGAUUACUAUCAGCAAAACCAUGGUUUUACUACACUAACUAUGGUUUAACUAUGGUUUUUGAAAACCAUGAUUGUCAAAACCAUGGUUAUUUUGUAGUUACUAUGGUUUUACUACAGUAACCAUGGUUUUUUGGUUUUAACUGUAGUAAAACCAUGGUUAAUUUUCGUAAGGGCUGACCAAUUCCCUAACCUUAACCACUCGAGGUGAAAAGUCUAAUAAAUCGUGAGCCAUGCAAUGAGCUGCUUCGUACAGUACAGUAGGUGGCGGUAUGCACCUUAACAGUUGGUUUGCAACCCGCCAGUAAACCCACAAAAGAAGAAGAAGCGCUGCUUCGUACUAGGGCGGUCUUGGCGCUACUGGUCACGUCUCCUGAGCGUGCAACGUUCAGCUUCUUCUUCUUUUUUCGGCGGUUACUGGCUCAAGUUUGGAAGAAACAGCAAAGCUCUCUGUAAAGGAUAACGACUAACGUAUUGGAGUGUCAAAAUGACCAGACGAAAACCUGGAAAACGAUGGAGAAGGACUGGUAAUGAAGAAGACCCAAAUAAACGACCAAGACGGGCUGCACACUUGUCAUCCCUCCCUGCAGCCGCCAGUGUUCAUGUGGAGACUGAUCAGCAAUAUUUAGGAGGUAGCAGCAGUGGAACACAGCAGGGGGGG